rnacentral:rRNA from 1 species
UACGUAGGGGGCUAGCGUUAUCCGGAAUUACUGGGCGUAAAGGGUGCGUAGGUGGUUUCUUAAGUCAGAGGUGAAAGGCUACGGCUCAACCGUAGUAAGCCUUUGAAACUGGGGAACUUGAGUGCAGGAGAGGAGAGUGGAAUUCCUAGUGUAGCGGUGAAAUGCGUAGAUAUUAGGAGGGACACUAGUUGCGAAGGCGGCUCUCUGGACUGUAACUGACACUGAGGCACGAAAGCGUGGGGAGCAAACAGG